rnacentral:lncRNA from 1 species
CGAAUUACAAACACUUUAGCCUUAUGACAAGUUUUUAUUCUUAGUAAAAAGGCAAAUAAUCCUAUCAUUCUAAAAGUAGAAGCAACUUGUUCAUGCAUUAUACACCAAGCUUCAAAGUGGAUGAGAAAUUUAUGAUCGUUUCCUCAUAAAACUGAGCCAGUAUCACAAUAUAAUAGGCAACAAAUAUAUUGCCCAUCUUCUUGUUUUAAUUUGAUCAGUGUAGAGGGGCAUAAAGGAAACUUGAUCUUAUUAUGUUGGCUAAUGUCAUGUUCUGAAUGAGUAGUUGUAACUCGUAAGGUCAUACUGAGAAUUUGACUAUGAAGCAGAAUUACAGACGUAUGUGCUAUGGUGGGAAUUCAUAUGUCAGGCUACUAGCAGCUUGAGAGAAGACAAAGUCUGUAGAUUUCUGUGUUUAUCAACAGUAGGAAAUAUUUAAUGAGGGGAAGGGUGCGAACUUAUCCGCCCAGAGGACAAAGCUAUAAAAUUUGGCACCUCUUGAAGCCACCUUCAACAGCUUCCACACCAUCAUACCUCUUCCCUCCUUUUUCUCGCUUCCUCCCUUCCCUUCUCCUUCUACAACUUCCUUCUUUUGUUGCUCCUCUCCUUUUGAAACUCCACCUUCUCUUCACCUCCUCUUGCUUCUUUCUCUUCUUUCUCAUCCCUCUUUAGGAGGUUCCUUUGUUACCCCCGUGGCAGAUUCUUUACCCUCUUCCUUUGGCGGCCUCCUCCUCUGCUUUCUCAUCAGCCUGGCCAAUGAGGGAACGGAACUUUGGGACUUCUAUGCUUUCUUCUCCUCUACCACCACUUCAACCACCUUGGGCUCUUUGGAAGGUGGUUGUCCCUGUUCCCUUCCCCAUCCUUGACUGAGACCUGAAGGGUCUCCCCAACCACCUUCUACAAAUCUUGACGAGGUUCCCACCGCAGGCGCAUUGGAACCAUCUCUGUCGUUAAUUUCUUAGAAGGGUAAGAAUUUUGGUUAUGGGAACACAGCA